ACGAGCUCCAUUUGAGGUUAACACCAAAAUCUCAUUUUAUUUUUUGGGUUGUAGUAAAAUCCGUGGGUUUCACCGAUUUGGAAGGCACAGCACGGAACCUUGGGAAAAGAGAAAGAAAGUCCAAAGUUUAGUUUGAAUCAAAGGGAAUUGAAUUGAAUUAGCAAAUUAGCAACAAUGGCAAAGAGUUCAAUGAAGCUAGCAUUUUGGAUCCUCUUGUUUGUUUGCAUAUCUGUGGAAGUAGCAAGAAUUGAAGCAAGGGGACCCUUUGAAUGUCCAAGGAUGAUAAAUUGUGAGAGUGUGUGUCAAGGAUUUCCCAGUUGCUGCAUAAAUGGAAAAUGCAUUUGUCAGAAAUGCCCUUCUCAGAAAACUGAAGAUGAUUAUCAACCUCUACAGGACACUACUAAACCCAAUUCUCAGUUAAAUUAGGCCUUGUUUUUGUUCUUGUUCUCCUAACUGGUGAUCAUCUACUAGCUGGUUAACAGCACUAGUAUUGUAUGCUCUUUGAUAUCUUUUAAUAAAUAAAUAAAUAAAUAAUAU